GUUUUGUUUUCCGUUCCGCGUUUUAGCAACACCCAAGAUCCGGUGAUAUAACUAUAUGUCCUAUUUAAUACCACACGCUGUUGUUACAAAUGAUGAAUGGACAUUUUGUGUGUACCUUUACAUGUGUAAAUUAUAUAAACGCAAUCGAGUGAUGAUACGAUGGAUAGUACAGAGGAAGAUCUAAUUCGUCCCAUAUACAAAAAUGGCAGAUAUCAGAACCCAUUCGACACGUGGAUGGACACACCAGGGAUUAGGAACUUAAUAAAGAUCAUCGUCGAUGAGGACCACAGUGGAAUUCCAAGUCAGAAGGAGUUGGGCAAAACUUUACCAGUGGAAACACCGGAUUUCCAGAAAUUACGAAAUCCAUCGACAUCGGAAAUGCAGAUAAUGUGGAUAGGCCAUGCCAGUGUGUUAGUGCAGAUGGACGGACUGACCAUUCUUGCCGAUCCUGUAUUUAGUGACAGGUGCUCCCCUGUGCAAUUCGCAGGACCCAAACGAUACCGUCCCCCACCCUGUAAGGUAGAGGAUAUACCCCAUAUAGACGCUGUGGUAAUUAGCCAUACCCACUACGAUCACCUUGACUACGGAACUGUACAGAACCUCAAUUCCAAAUUCAACGACAAGAUCACGUGGUUUGUUGCAGCGGGAACUAAGGAAUGGAUGCUGAAUGCUGGUUGUAAGAACGUCGUUGAAUUGUCGUGGUGGGACGAAGCGGAAAUGCCCGGAAGACCGGACUUUAAAUUCGUUAGUGUUCCGUGUCAGCAUCGGUGUGAACGCACUCUGCUGGAUUCUAUGAAAGCCCUCUGGUGUAGCUGGGUUGUUCAGGGGCCUCAACACAGCUUCUACUUUGCUGGAGACACAGGGUAUUGUACCGCAUUUAAACAGAUCGGCAGGAAGUACGGACCAUUCGACUUUGCUGCCAUUCCCAUUGGUGCAUAUUUUCCUAGGUGGUUCAUGAGACCCAUGCAUGUAGAUCCGGAGGAAGCGGUAAAAAUAUUUGAGGACGUCAGAGCUAAAAAUGCCAUGGGUAUCCACUGGGGAACCUUCAGAAUGACUAAAGAGAAUACAUUCCAUACGGCAAGGCCUUACACAUCACACCAUGAUCAUUGACUUUGUGACCUCGUGUCGUGGUUAUGUCGUGAGCCCCUUGGGGAUAGGUUGGGGCCACAAUAUGAGGUUUUACUUGGAGCCGAGGACAAAACUUGGAGAAGAGCUGGAUAAGAAGAACAUCAGUAGAGACAAAUUUUUCACACUUCGUCACGGUCUGGUGCACACAAUCGGACAUUCUCUACCUCAUGACCCUGCCUGACCUUGGAUAGUCCAGAUUGUAUUUCAUUUCUGUUAUCAUCACCAUGAAAUAAAUUCCUCUCAAUCAAA